UUAGGAGCUGCUCUGUCUCUGCUCUGUUUGUCCCUCCUGGUCUCUGUCCAGGUGAUUUAGGAGCCGCUCUGUCUGUCUGUCUCUCCGCCUCUCCUGGUCUCUGUCCAGGUGAUUUAGGAGCUUCUCUGUCUGUCUGUCCCUUCCUCCUGUUCCAUGUCCAGGUGAUUUAGGAGCCGCUCUGUCUGUCUG